rnacentral:lncRNA from 1 species
AAUAAAAUCUGAAAGCCAACCAAAAUAUUAAGGUGUUACAUGUAUGAAGCUUGAUGUAUGUUUCACCAAUCACAACAACGUAAAUAGCUAACUAUACAUAAAAUAUGAGCCUCUGUAGUCAAAUAUGUACUGAGAAUGCAGCAGGUGAGAUGAGGAGUAUGUGAUCAAUGCCUUGGAUCUAUAAUAGAUACCACUUCUUCUUCGCUGUUUGGGCAUUGGGAACUGUUAGCAGUUGAGGUCGAACUUCAGGCUUUCUAUGAGUUUUAAUUUCUCUGCCAAUUGGCACCACAGUAAACUCAAGUUGGCCAGCAAAACAAACCAUCCAACCUAAUGCAAAGUGUAAUCAUCACUAUGUAGAACUACUAAGGUUACUCCAGGAACUAUCUCCAAAAGGCAUUUUAGCACCAGGAUAUCCUGAUUCCUGAAGGACCAAAAUUGCUCUGUCGAUAUAUUGGUGUUGCCCCAUUCAUUUGCAGCACGCUCUUUUUGAGUCCAUGCUGACAGAACUGACUUGGCCCAUAGGACAGAGGAAAUAGAGCAUAUCCACGAUACCUGCAAGCAUGAGAACAAUCAACUAAAGUUCUUUCACUGUGCUUAAAAGAACUACAAAUUUGUGGAAAUAAAGAAGACAAACAUCUCCUUGUCAACUGCCAAAAAAGAGAAAAAAAAAAGGGAAGCCACCACCAUCCACCUCACUCUGCAUUUACAUGACCAGUUACUAAUAACGGGAGGGGGAAAUUUUAUUAUCAUGUCAUUAUUAAGGCUAUUACUCCUGCUUCAUGAACAAUAUGUUAAUAUUCAUAAUUAUUUGUACUACAAGUCUACCAUUGUCUUCUAGUACAAUUCCUUAGAUAUGGAGUAGUUAUUGAUUUGUUGUUGUCUCUAAAUCAGUUUCAAGAACUAAAUUGUGUACGUAGUUGUGUUUGUAUCCAUGAGAAGAUGCAGUUUGUAGCACAGAUCAAGCUUAUCAUCAGUAGUCAUAGUAUACCUUUCUAUACCGUUAAAUGAAGUUGCAAUUGAUGGUUACAACCUACAAUGACACCAACAGAAAAAGAAAUAGAAUUGCAAAUUGGAGCAGGUUUCUUACCUUAUAAAUAAUGAUGAAAUGGUUAGCUGAAAAUCCAAUCACAAACUCAAAUAAUCACUGUUACCACCUCAAAGAAUUUGCAUUUCCAAUUUUGAAACAAUGUUGUAGAAUUAGGAGAGCACAUAUUAAAUGAGACAAUUUGUAGUCGCUGGUUGGUUCUUCAAUAACUAAAACUGAACGCCAAUAUCAAAAUAAUAGUAAGCUGAAUACGGAAGAAGUAGAAACCUAAAGAUUAGAUUUUUGUUACACCAAUUCAAACUUCCUACCUUGUAAAAAAAUAUUUUGUCUUUAAUAUGAGGAACUCACUUCUCAUCUAAACAAAGUAUAAUAACAUAUCCAAUGUAAUCCACAAGUGAGUUCUAGGGAGCUUAAAAUGUAACUACCUCACAUAGGUGGUAGAGAAACUGUUUUAGAGAGAUCUAAGUGCAACAAAUCAAAAUAUUUUACCGAGAAAGGAAUACGAUACCAAAGAAAACAUGUCAGUUAAUAAGGAAAAACAGUUCAACAACAUUUAGAGAAAACAAACAAAAAAAGAUGAAAAAGGGGAAAGGGAGCAGAGCGAGCCAAUAAAGAAGAAAGAGGAAGAAAAUUACCUGGAAAAUUUUCCAGUUCAUAUAGGAGGGUCAUCUCAACAUCAUCAUGUGAAG